CUAUCUUUCUACUCUAUCUCUCUAUCUCUAUCUCUAUCUCUCUCUAUCUCUGUCCUAUGUAGAAACAAGAUUCUGAAGUUUCAUUAAAAAAAAAAAAAUCCCACGGAUUUCUACCUAAUCAACAAGCAAAAUUCGUUUUUGGUGAAGAUCAAGUUGCUCCUCUUGGUAUAUAAAUCCUUGAAAAAAAAUCAAAGGGGAAGUGUUUGAGGAGGUGGACAGAUUUGGUUUGUUUACGGCGUAGACGAUUCGAACGUCCCCAAGUUGUGAUUGAACUGUUUUGUGGUAAAAUACCAAGCGGAGCUGCGGGUGAUGACAGGAGCUGACUCUAAAGAUGCUCGUGCCUUCCGGAUAUGUCUACCACUUGUCUCGGGGUAGUCCUACAGAUGAAUUCUAUUUAAGUACAUUUCAAACAGAAGUUGUAUUUAUUUCAUAUCCAUUUUUGCAACAAUCUAGUCUUAGUAGCUCAUGUCUUGUACUACUUGUCCUUGAGAUUUUGUAUGGAAAUUCAAUUAUAUCGAUUGUUGAUCA